UCUCCGUUGGUGAACCAGCGGAGGGAUCAUUACCGAGUUUACAACUCCCAAACCCCUGUGAACAUACCAUUUGUUGCCUCGGCGGUGCCUGCUUCGGCAGCCCGCCAGAGGACCCAAACCCUUGAUUUUAUACAGUGUCUUCUGAGUAAGUGAUUAAAUAAAUCAAAACUUUCAACAACGGAUCUCUUGGUUCUG
rnacentral:misc_RNA from 1 species